rnacentral:rRNA from 1 species
GACGAACGCUGGCGGCGUGCCUAAUACAUGCAAGUUGAGCGCUGAAGGUUGGUACUUGUACCGACUGGAUGAGCAGCGAACGGGUGAGUAACGCGUGGGGAAUCUGCCUUUGAGCGGGGGACAACAUUUGGAAACGAAUGCUAAUACCGCAUAAAAACUUUAAACACAAGUUUUAAGUUUGAAAGAUGCAAUUACAUCACUCAAAGAUGAUCCCGCGUUGUAUUAGCUAGUUGGUGAGGUAAAGGCUCACCAAGGCGAUGAUACAUAGCCGACCUGAGAGGGUGAUCGGCCACAUUGGGACUGAGACACGGCCCAAACUCCUACGGGAGGCAGCAGUAGGGAAUCUUCGGCAAUGGACGAAAGUCUGACCGAGCAACGCCGCGUGAGUGAAGAAGGUGUUCGGAUCGUAAAACUCUGUUGGUAGAGAAGAACGUUGGUGAGAGUGGAAAGCUCAUCAAGUGACGGUAACUACCCAGAAAGGGACGGCUAACUACGUG